GGCAUGGAAUCUUGCAGCAUCCACAAGACCACCUUGAACUCAUCAUGAAAUGUGACGUGGACAUCUGCAAAGACCAGUAUGCC
rnacentral:pre_miRNA from 1 species